rnacentral:rRNA from 1 species
UACGAAGGGGGCUAGCGUUGCUCGGAAUCACUGGGCGUAAAGCGCACGUAGGCGGCUUUUUAAGUCAGGGGUGAAAUCCUGGAGCUCAACUCCAGAACUGCCUUUGAUACUGAGAAGCUUGAGUCCGGGAGAGGUGAGUGGAACUGCGAGUGUAGAGGUGAAAUUCGUAGAGAUCCGGAGGAACACCAGUGGCGUAGGCGGCUCUCUGGGUCCGCCCUGACGCUGAGGCACGAAAGCGUGGGGAGCGAACGGG